rnacentral:rRNA from 1 species
GUAGGUGGCAAGCGUUGUCCGGAAUUAUUGGGCGUAAAGCGCGCGCAGGUGGUUCUUUAAGUCUGAUGUGAAAGCCCCCGGCUCAACCGGGGAGGGUCAUUGGAAACUGGGGAACUUGAGUGCAGGAGAGGAAAGUGGAAUUCCACGUGUAGCGGUGAAAUGCGUAGAUAUGUGGAGGAACACCAGUGGCGAAGGCGACUUUCUGGCCUGUAACUGACACUGAGACGCGAAAGCGUGGGGAGCAAACAGGGAUUAGAUACCCUGGUAGUCCACGCCGUAAACGAUGAGUGCUAAGUGUUGGGGGGGUUUCCCGCCCCUCAGUGCUGCAGCUAACGCAUUAAGCACUCCGCCUGGGGAGUACGGUCGCAAGACUG